rnacentral:misc_RNA from 1 species
AACGCACAUUGCGCCCGCUAGUAUUCUGGCGGGCAUGCCUGUUCGAGCGUCAUUUCAACCAUCAAGCCCCCGGCUUGUGUUGGGGACCUGCGGCUGCCGCAGGCCCUGAAAUCCAGUGGCGGGCUCGCCGUAGCACCGAGCGUAGUAGUACACUUCUCGCUCCGGUAGCAGCGGCGGGCGCCUGCCGUAAAACCCCCCCCUUAAAAUCUCAAGGUUGACCUCGGAUCAGGUAGGAAUACCCGCUGAACUUAA